rnacentral:rRNA from 1 species
GACGAACGCUGGCGGCGUGCUUAAUACAUGCAAGUCGAGCGAACGGACCAGAAUCUUGCUUCUUUGUCGUUAGCGGCGGACGUGUGAGUAACACGUGGAUAACCUACUUAUAUUACUGGGAUCUCUUCGGGAAUCCGGAUAUAAUCCCGUAUAAUCUCUUGAUCCGCAUGGUUCAAUAGUGAAAUACGGUCUUGCUGUCACUUAUAGAUGGAUCUGCGCUGCAUUAGCUAGUUGGUAAGGUAACGGCUUAUCAAGGCAACGAUGCCUAGCCGACCUGAUAGAGGGAUAGGCCACACUAGAGCUGGAACGCGGUCCUGACUCCUGCGAGAGGCAGCAGUAGGGUAUCUUCCGCAGUAGGCGAGAGCCUGACGGAACAACGCCACGUGAGUUAUAGAAGUCUUCGGAUCGUAAAACUCUGUUAUUAGGGAAAAACAUAUGUGGAAGGAACUGAGCACAGCUUGACGGUACCUGAUCAGAAAGCCACGGCUAACUACGUG